UACGGAGGGUGCAAACGUUGCUCGGAAUCAUUGGGCGUAAAGCGCACGUAGGCGGCCUGACAAGUCGGGUGUGAAAGCCCUGGGCUCAACCCAGGAAGUGCACUCGAAACUGCCAGGCUUGAAUAUGGAAGAGGGUCGCGGAAUUCCCGGUGUAGAGGUGAAAUUCGUAGAUAUCGGGAGGAACACCUGUGGCGAAGGCGGCCCCCUGGGCCGCGGCCUCGACCGCUGAGACGCGAAGGCUAGGGGAGCGAACGGGG
rnacentral:rRNA from 1 species